rnacentral:rRNA from 1 species
GAGUCCAUCUGGUGGUAACACCAGUGAAGACUUAGUGGCGAACGGGUGAGUAACACGUGAGCAACCUGCCCCGAAGACUGGGAUAACAUCGGGAAACUGAUGCUAAUACUGGAUACCCCCACUUGAUCGCAUGGUCUGGUGAGGAAAUGGGUUUCUGCUUCGGGAGGGGCUCGCGGCCUAUCAGCUUGUUGGUGAGGUAACGGCUUACCAAGGCAACGACGGGUAGCUGGUCUGAGAGGACGACCAGCCACACUGGGACUGAGACACGGCCCAGACUCCUACGGGAGGCAGCAGUGGGGAAUCUUGCGCAAUGGGCGAAAGCCUGACGCAGCAACGCCGCGUGAGGGAUGAAGGCCUUUGGGUUGUAAACCUCUUUCAGCAGGGACGAUUGUGACGGUACCUGCAGAAGAAGCCCCGGCUAACUACGUGCCAGCAGCCGCGGUGAUACGUAGGGGGCAAGCGUUGUCCGGAUUUAUUGGGCGUAAAGAGCUCGUAGGCGGUUUGGUAAGUCGGGUGUGAAAUCUCCAAGCUCAACUUGGAGUCGCCACUCGAUACUGCCAUGACUAGAGUUCGGUAGAGGAGCGUGGAAUUCCUGGUGUAGCGGUGAAAUGCGCUGAUAUCAGGAGGAACACCGGUAGCGAAGGCGGCGCUCUGGGCCGUAACUGACGCUGAGGAGCGAAAGCGUGGGUAGCAAACAGGAU